UGAAGGGCUUCGGCUUGUAAACCGCUUUUCUUUGGGAAGAAUGUAUGGGUCGUGAACCCGUGCUCGACGGUACCAGAGGAAUAAGCCCCGGCUAACUCCGUGC
rnacentral:rRNA from 1 species